rnacentral:rRNA from 1 species
GAGUUUGAUCCUGGCUCAGAGUGAACGCUGGCGGCGUGCCUAAUACAUGCAAGUCGAACGAUGAAGCUUCUAGCUUGCUAGAAGUGGAUUAGUGGCGCACGGGUGAGUAACGCAUAGGUCAUGUGCCUCUUAGUUUGGGAUAGCCAUUGGAAACGAUGAUUAAUACCAGAUACUCCCUACGGGGGAAAGAUUUAUCGCUAAGAGAUCAGCCUAUGUCCUAUCAGCUUGUUGGUAAGGUAAUGGCUUACCAAGGCUAUGACGGGUAUCCGGCCUGAGAGGGUGAACGGACACACUGGAACUGAGACACGGUCCAGACUCCUACGGGAGGCAGCAGUAGGGAAUAUUGCUCAAUGGGGGAAACCCUGAAGCAGCAACGCCGCGUGGAGGAUGAAGGUUUUAGGAUUGUAAACUCCUUUUGUUAGAGAAGAUAAUGACGGUAUCUAACGAAUAAGCACCGGCUAACUCCGUGCCAGCAGCCGCGGUAAUACGGAGGGUGCAAGCGUUACUCGGAAUCACUGGGCGUAAAGAGCGCGUAGGCGGGAUAGUCAGUCAGGUGUGAAAUCCUAUGGCUUAACCAUAGAACUGCAUUUGAAACUACUAUUCUAGAGUGUGGGAGAGGUAGGUGGAAUUCUUGGUGUAGGGGUAAAAUCCGUAGAGAUCAAGAGGAAUACUCAUUGCGAAGGCGACCUGCUGGAACAUUACUGACGCUGAUUGCGCGAAAGCGUGGGGAGCAAACAGGAUUAGAUACCCUGGUAGUCCACGCCCUAAACGAUGGAUGCUAGUUGUUGGAGGGCUUAGUCUCUCCAGUAAUGCAGCUAACGCAUUAAGCAUCCCGCCUGGGGAGUACGGUCGCAAGAUUAAAACUCAAAGGAAUAGACGGGGACCCGCACAAGCGGUGGAGCAUGUGGUUUAAUUCGAAGAUACACGAAGAACCUUACCUAGGCUUGACAUUGAGAGAAUCCGCUAGAAAUAGUGGAGUGUCUGGCUUGCUAGACCUUGAAAACAGGUGCUGCACGGCUGUCGUCAGCUCGUGUCGUGAGAUGUUGGGUUAAGUCCCGCAACGAGCGCAACCCCCUUUCUUAGUUGCUAACAGGUCAUGCUGAGAACUCUAAGGAUACUGCCUCCGUAAGGAGGAGGAAGGUGGGGACGACGUCAAGUCAUCAUGGCCCUUACGCCUAGGGCUACACACGUGCUACAAUGGGGUGCACAAAGAGAAGCAAUACUGCGAAGUGGAGCCAAUCUUCAAAACGCCUCUCAGUUCGGAUUGUAGGCUGCAACUCGCCUGCAUGAAGCUGGAAUCGCUAGUAAUCGCAAAUCAGCCAUGUUGCGGUGAAUACGUUCCCGGGUCUUGUACUCACCGCCCGUCACACCAUGGGAGUUGUGUUUGCCUUAAGUCAGGAUGCUAAACCAGCUACUGCCCACGGCACACACAGCGACUGGGGUGAAGUCGUAACAAGGUAACCGUAGGUGAACCUGCGGUUGGAUCACC